UACGGGGGGAGCAAGCGUUGUUCGGAUUUACUGGGCGUAAAGGGCGCGUAGGCGGCCACCGCAAGUCGGUUGUGAAAUCUCCGGGCUUAACCCGGAAAGGUCAAUCGAUACUGCGGGGCUAGAGUGCAGAAGGGGCAACUGGAAUUCUCGGUGUAGCGGUGAAAUGCGUAGAUAUCAGGAGGAACACAGGUGGCGAAGGCGGCUCUCUGGACAAAUACCGACGCUGAGGCACGAAAGCUAGGGGAGCAAACAGG
rnacentral:rRNA from 1 species